AAUAUUUUUUUAAAAUUUUUUUUGAGUUUAUUCUUUUUAACUUAUUUUAAAUUUUUUAUUUAUUAUUCAUAUAAUAAAUAUUUAAUAAAAGAAAAAAUAAUAAAAAUUAAAAAAAAUGUGGAAUGUGGAGUGUUAGGAGGUUGUGAAGAUAUUUUAAUCAUGAUAAUGUUGUA